rnacentral:rRNA from 1 species
UACGGAGGGGGCAAGCGUUGUUCGGAUUUACUGGGCGUAAAGGGUGUGUAGGCGGUUGCGCAAGUCUGGUGUGAAAUCUUCACCGCUUAACGGGAAGAGGUCACUGGAAACUGCGUAACUCGAGUGUGGUAGAGGGAAGCGGAAUUUCCGGUGUAGCGGUGAAAUGCGUAGAUAUCGGAAGGAACAUCAGUGGCGAAAGCGGCUUCCUGGACCAGCACCGACGUUCAGGCACGAAAGCGUGGGGAGCAAACAGG